rnacentral:rRNA from 1 species
UAGGGAAUCUUCGGCAAUGGACGAAAGUCUGACCGAGCAACGCCGCGUGAGUGAAGAAGGUUUUCGGAUCGUAAAACUCUGUUGUUAGAGAAGAACAAGGACGUUAGUAACUGAACGUCCCCUAACGGUAUCUAACCAGAAAGCCACGGCUAACUACGUGCCAGCAGCCGCGGUAAUACGUAGGUGGCAAGCGUUGUCCGGAUUUAUUGGGCGUAAAGCGAGCGCAGGCGGGUUCUUAAGUCUGAUGUGAAAGCCCCCGGCUCAACCGGGGAGGGUCAUUUGAAACUGGGAGACUUGAGUGCAGAAGAGGAGAGUGGAAUUCCAUGUGUAGCGGUGAAAUGCGUAGAUAUAUGGAGGAACACCAGUGGCGAAGGCGGCUCUCUGGUCUGUAACUGACGCUGAGGCUCGAAAGCGUGGGGAGCAAACAGG